rnacentral:rRNA from 1 species
UCAUACGGGAGGCAGCAGUGGGGAAUAUUGGACAAUGGGCGAAAGCCUGAUCCAGCCAUGCCGCGUGUGUGAAGAAGGUCUUCGGAUUGUAAAGCACUUUAAGUUGGGAGGAAGGGCAGUAAGUUAAUACCUUGCUGUUUUGACGUUACCGACAGAAUAAGCACCGGCUAACUUCGUGCCAGCAGCCGCGGUAAUACGAAGGGUGCAAGCGUUAAUCGGAAUUACUGGGCGUAAAGCGCGCGUAGGUGGUUCGUUAAGUUGGAUGUGAAAGCCCCGGGCUCAACCUGGGAACUGCAUCCAAAACUGGCGAGCUAGAGUAUGGCAGAGGGUGGUGGAAUUUCCUGUGUAGCGGUGAAAUGCGUAUAUAUAGGAAGGAACACCAGUGGCGAAGGCGACCACCUGGGCUAAUACUGACACUGAGGUGCGAAAGCGUGGGGAGCAAACGGGAUUAAAUACCCUGGUAAUCCCCCCCAUAAACGAUGUCCACUAACCGUGGGAAUCCUUGAAAUCCUUAGGGCGCAGCU